UACACAAAAUGUGUACUUGAAAAUCUAUGCAGCAAGUUACAUCUGUUUGAAGAAUGUCACUUUAAAUAUGAACAACAUUAGUUGGUUUCCCUCCAUCUUAGUGUGCCUUGUAAUGGAAUCGUGGAUGAAGGGAAACCACUACAUAAUUCACGAUUAUCCUAUGUUCACUUUGUUAUCACUGUGUUGUUUUUGGUGUGGAUAUUCUGGCUGAAGUUAGAGAGUGCACGUGUUGAUCAUUGUCAGGCAAAGUCCUUUUCAGUUCCUCUUGGGAAAUUCAAGAAGAAGCCCCGGAUUAGGGUGCCUGAGGCCAUUAAAAAACCAGUAUUGCCUCAAGAUUUUGUUGAAAAACAGAAAGCCUACUUUGCGGAGAUCGAUGCUUUUGAACUUCCAGAGGAGGUUGUAUUAGAGAAUGAAUUGGAAUAGCAGGAUAAAGAUUGAGGGACUUGUAGAUCGCUAACAGUAAACCCUCCUGUUACUAGGUCCAGUUAGCAUGUAAAUUUGGUGUAUAUACAGACUUCUUGCUGACACCCUUUUGUAAUUACAAUGCAACUAUUGACACGCAUGGAAAUAAAAUGACUUUCGUGGCAGCAUUUGUCAUCUUGCCUGCAAGCCCACCUGAUCAGAGUGGCAGGAGUAUGCAAAAUUCAAUGCUUUGGUUUCACCAGUUCUUAUGCAACGAGAGAGAUGUGCUCGAACAUUAUGCUUCG